UACGAAGGGGGCUAGCGUUGCUCGGAAUCACUGGGCGUAAAGCGCACGUAGGCGGCUUUUUAAGUCAGGGGUGAAAUCCUGGAGCUCAACUCCAGAACUGCCUUUGAUACUGAGAAGCUUGAGUCCGGGAGAGGUGAGUGGAACUGCGAGUGUAGAGGUGAAAUUCGUAGAUAAUUCGCAAGAACACCAGUGGCGAAGGCGGCUCACUGGCCCGGUACUGACGCUGAGGUGCGAAAGCGUGGGGAGCAAACAGGG
rnacentral:rRNA from 1 species